CGAGUUAUACUCAACGCAUGCUCAAGGAAUUCAUGCAUCCUAUUUCCAAUCAACUAAAGCCAUUCCAAGCACGAUCCCGCGAUCGACAUGGUGGCGCCACCACCUCUCACACCGUGCCACCUACCAGACCUCCAGCUGAGACCACCACACCGGCCAUCGCCGCCGAAUAUGGUGGAACCUCCCAUCAAGGCGGGCUCGUUACCACCUCCGACUUAGGCCCCGGUCUUGGAGCAACUUCAAGCAUUCCCUCCA
rnacentral:lncRNA from 1 species